rnacentral:rRNA from 1 species
GACGAACGCUGGCGGCGUGCUUAACACAUGCAAGUCGAACGGAAAGGCCCUGCUUUUGUGGGGUGCUCGAGUGGCGAACGGGUGAGUAACACGUGAGUAACCUGCCCUUGACUUUGGGAUAACUUCAGGAAACUGGGGCUAAUACCGGAUAGGAGCUCCUGCUGCAUGGUGGGGGUUGGAAAGUUUCGGCUGUUGGGGAUGGACUGGCGGCUUAUCAGCUUGUUGGUGGGGUAGUGGCUUACCAAGGCUUUGACGGGUAGCCGGCCUGAGAGGGUGACCGGCCACAUUGGGACUGAGAUACGGACCAGACUCCUACGGGGGGCAGCAGUGGGGAAUAUUGCACAGUGGGCGGAAGCCUGAUGCAGCAGCGCCGCGUGCGGGAUGACGGCCUUCGGGGUGUAAAACGCUUUCGCCUGUGACGAAGCGUGAGUGACGGUAAUGGGUAAAGAAGCACCGGCUAACUACGUG